rnacentral:lncRNA from 1 species
GUUCAAAAUGGCAUUGCUACCUAUGCAACAUGGACAACCAUUGCCACACUGCUCAACUUCACUAUUGUGUUGGAUCUAGCAUCAGUUUCCCCAACAAAUGCUGCUACAGCUUCUUUAUGCAUACUUCUGUUGGAAGUAAUUAUAUGGUUUACAGUUGAAAACUUUCUAAUAGAGAAGCAUGUCCGUUACAUCCUCACCGUUUACCCUGUGAUUAUCUAUGCUCUAAUUGGAAGCCUAAGCAAGCAUUACGACGCAGCAGCACCUGGCCGGAACUUUUCAGCGGUGCUCCUCGUGUUGGCCUGUAUUGUGUUAGUGGUGCGCGUGGGGCUGGUGGUUUGGAGACACAGGACUCGGCCUCUCUACCGUGAAGUCAGUCCUGAGGUCCUGAUGUCACCAAACAGCGGCACCGAUAAAUAACCAUACAUCAUAAACACUCAACACUCAUAAACUUCAAAGAUGACAUGCCCUGAACGGUAACCCUUCCAGGUGUGCAGUACCUGCAUGAAUGUGUUUCAGCUGGAACAGAUGCUUUCAGAGUCUUCAGUUUUAUGGAAAAUAUGCAUGAAACAGCAUACGGUAGCA